GCACCAGUGGUAUAGUCUAGCAUAGGUCCUUGCCACGGGCCAGACCCGAGUUCGAUUCUCGGCUGGUGCA